UAUACCUGUAUUUUUGUGAUUCGAGCUGAGAAGGAGGGAUGAAUGCAAUGAGCUGUAUGAGGUUUCGCUGGUCUGACCAUGGAUACACCACCCAAGCGGCGUAAGUGUUGCAAAAGGUUCUCCUGCUUUGCCUUCAACUACUUGUAGUGGUAAUAAUAAAUGAUAAUUAUCUUGCCCUAUCAAUAUUUCGGGCUUAUAAUGUGCGAGAUUAAUUUUAUUUUUUACUUCAGAUAAAUAAUCGUAUCGCGUAAUGCAUAAAUUCGAGGAAUCUUGCGCAGGUAAACUCAAGUUGUCUACACUAUUUCCCGUUAGCGAGUAUAGUUGGCCGUCUCUGUUUGUCACAGUAAAUUUCAGUGACUCGCUGUCGCAUUCUAUUGCAUUGUUCCAUGCGCCACACACGCGCAUCUUUGUGUGACGUCCGUGUAAACCAACGCGCGCCGCCAGCUCCGAGUUUAUUAGUGUGACAGUUGAUCCGUCGUCGAGUAACGCGCUUGUAGUCUCGGUUCCGCUCGGUCCAUGUACUCAUCCUCUCCGAUCGCGACGACUGCUGCCACGAAGUUCUGGAUCUUGACCGCGAACUUGACUAUAUCUUUAUGAUAUUCGUCUGCUAAGUGUCGCGGUGUUUCUGCUCCCGUUCCUGCCUUCCUUCGGUACGCGCAGGAUUUGCCAUGAUGCUUGGCGGCGGAGUUUGAAACAUACCUUUUAUCGGCUCAAGAUUUGGCUCGAAGACCACUUUGUAAGGGCCAGGCUCAAUAAAAACACAGCUUUUGGUAAAAUCGGCUUAUUUCUUUGGAUACGUGUGUGGUGACCGUUGCUCGGGUGAAGUAAGAGUCGUUGGUUUUCAAAUUGGUUGUCAACGAGUGACGUUUUGAUUUUUCUGACAUUAAGUGACGUUUGCUGUCACCACACGCGUUCCAUUUCACCAUUUAUUUAAACUAUAUACAUAAUACAUUUAGGUACAUAAUAUUAUUAAUACGCGUCGUUAACAUCAUUGGAGGAGGCCUUUACCUGAGGGGGGUUCCAGCAAAAUAUAGUUUUUUUUAAAUAAAUACCAUAGAGUAGUUACAUCUUAAUUUUUAAAAGUAGGUAAUUCUCACAAAAUUGUAUAUUUUUUUUUUUUUUUUUAUUCUUUACAAGUUAGCCCUUGACUACAAUCUCACCUGAUGGUAAGUGAUGAUGCAGUCUAAGAUGGAAGCGGGCUAACUUGUUAGGAGGAGGAUGAAAAUCCACACCCCUUUCGGUUUCUACACGGCAUCGUACCGGAACGCUAAAUCGCUUGGCGGUACGUCUUUGCCGGUAGGGUGGUAACUAGCCACGGCCGAAGCCUCCCACCAGCCAGACCUGGACAAAUUAAGAAAAUCUCAAUCUGCUCAGCCGGGGAUCGAACCCAGGACCUCCGUCUUGUAAAUCCACUGCGCAUACCACUGCGCCACGGAGGCCGUCAAAAUUAUGUAUGUUUGUACUGGAAAUAAAAGGCUUUUUUAUUUUAUUUUAUUUUAUUUAUAUUAUCAUUAUCUAAGUAAUGUAAUAGAUAUAACAAUAUAAUAUAAAUUUAGUAUAUAUUUUUUUAAUUUUUAUAAUAUGUAGUUAUAGAUUUUUAGGUACGUAGUUUUAAUAUUAUUGUAAAACUUUAUAAAAUUGAAUAAAUGAACCAUUUAACUACAUAGUAAUGUAAUUAAUAAUGUAUGUAAUUUACUUUUUCUCUCUAUUAUGUCUACACCCGUCAUUAAUCUCUUUUUUGAUUGGUUGUCUGGAAGAGAUUAGCGAUAAGGCAGCCAAUAUUGUAUAUUUUAGUUUUAAGGUUAAUUGCUUGUUAUAUUUUAUUUUUAGUAUACAAUAAAGUAUAUUUCAUUCAUUCA